rnacentral:tRNA from 2 species
GGCGAGGUAGCCAAGUGGUAAGGCCGGGCUCUGCAAAAGCUCUAUCGCGGGUUCGAUUCCCGCCCUCGCCU